rnacentral:tRNA from 1 species
GGGGUUGUAGCUCAGUGGUAGAGCGCUUGCCUAGCAAGCAUGAGACACUGGGUUCGAUCCUUAGCACCA